rnacentral:misc_RNA from 1 species
CAAGCUUUGUUUAUUAGUUUUCAGCGUCUGCGUCUCUCACUAUAAUUUUUGUGUUCUCCCGUUCAUUAUUUUUUUUCGUUUCCUGGAGCCUGCACUCACGGCGAGAGCGAAAUAUAUUUUUGUUGUUGGAGUUGUACUUGCGGUCGUAUCGAUUUUCCGCGGCACCGCCGUUAAUCCGACCGCUUGUCGAGGAUUUUCGACUGAUCUCGUGCCGAACGGGAAUUAAUUGACUCGGUGACGGACGGACACGUGAAUUGAGCUUCGAAAAUGAGUGACGUCGAGGACCGCAACGGGAAUUCAAAAUCCCGUUCCAUCUCUCCCAGCCGAAGCCGUAGCAGAUCGCCGAGCGAUCACAAGUCUCGCAGUCGAUCACCCACUCACUCGAAGACACGUUCUAGAUCGCUUUCUCGGCCACCCAGCCGCAACGGCAGCAAGUAUAAGAGCCGCUCGAGGCAUUCGUACUCAAGGUCACGUUCCCGGUCCCGUUCUUAUUCUGGAGAUCGUCGACGCAGUUACCGCAGCCACUCUCGAGGCUCGGGCUCGAGACGCAGCAGACAUGAAAACCCAAAACCUAACAAAUGUCUGGGCAUAUUCGGCCUAAGUGUGUACACUACAGAACAUCAACUCUACGAUAUAUUUGCAAAAUAUGGUUCCAUCGACAAAAUCCUUAUUAUUAUUGAUGCUAAAAGUGGAAGGUCUCGCGGUUUUGGUUUUGCCUAUUUUAAAAAGCAUGAAGAUGCUAAGGUAGCUAAAGAAGAAUGCUCUGGCAUGGAAAUUGAUGGCCGCAGAAUUCGAGUAGAUUUUUCAAUUACCCAACGCCCCCAUACACCAACACCUGGCAUUUAUAUGGGCAGACCAACAAUGAGAGAAGAAAGGUCAUCUAGGAGGAGAGGUUAUGAUAGAUAUGAUAAUAACCGAUAUGAUCGUGGUGAUCGGUAUGACCGCGGAGAACGUUAUGAUAGAUAUGACAGAGAUAGAGACUAUGACGAUUACUAUGAGGGUGGAUACAGAGGUGGCGGCGGCGGCGGAGGUGGUAGAGGAGGUGGCGGUGGUGGAGGAGGCCACUACAGAGAACGCAGAUCACCAUCCUACUACAAAAACAGAUCACGUUACGAUAGGUCACGUUCACGUUCUUAUUCUCCACUUUUUCAGCUUUCAAAGUAUUUUAUCAAGAUUUCUCACAUAUUCAAUUUUUUAUUCAUUUCCUGAAGAACAUAUUCGAAGAAAAGAGAAUAUUUCAAACUGUCAAGAUAAUAAUAUAUAUAAAUUGACUUGAAGACUUCUCGAACUUCUAUAACUUUAGAACUUUUUUUUUUAAAUUUAAAAAAAAAAUUAUUAAAAGAAGAUUCUUCAAAUUACAAAAGUAGAACACAUGAAGACCCAUGUUCACAAUAUGACCCAAAGGUAGAAAAUUGGUAGACACUGAUGAAGAUCUUGAAGUUUGUCAAGAAAAUUAACAGUUUAUCGCCACUAAUUACAGAGGUGCGGAAAGAGUUUAAGAAAUUUUCUUUGAAGACUAGGGAUAACAUUGUAAUGUGAAGCAUUUGUCAAGUCUGAAGAAACAUAAAGGAGUGAAGAUGUUUUAGUCAAACAUUUUGACGUUAUAAAUUUAGUGUUGCAAUUUUAGUUUUUCACAAUAUUUUUAGGCUCACCCUAUUUAAUUGCUCCUACCUAAAUUGUGUUUGGUAAAUUUCAUCAAUUUGUAAAUAUAUGAUUUUUUUUUUUUUAAUUUAAACUUGUCUGACGCUACAUUAUACAUAUGUUUAAAUUAAUUAAUUAUGUAAUAAGCAAAUCAGAUUUAAGAAUGAUAAUAAAAAGUUUUCGUAUUCUAAAUAUAAAAUAUUAUUAAUUAAUUUUUUCUCCUAAAUCAUCCUAUUAUUGGGACAUUCUUCAUCCUGUGAAUUUUAAUAACUACGAGUUUUUACUACUUCAUUUAGUUUUUAUUUUUUAUCUUAAAUAGGUAUAGGUUUUAUCGACCAUAAUAUAAAAGAUAACUAAAAUAUGGAUGUGCUAUUGUAAAUUUUUGAUUUCUUUAUUAUUAAUUGCGGGUAUGUAGAAAAUUGUUCACGCGAUAGUAAUAAAACUUAUUUUCUAGUGUACAAUUACUUUAACAAUUUGAAUAAGUUAUAAAGAAUGUAUAAUAUAAUUUGUAGAAGAUAUAACAAUAAUGUUCAUAUAGAAGUAAUAUAUUAGAAUGAAGUUAAUAUAACUAAUGUAUUUUUCUUUGUA